UACGGGGGGAGCAAGCGUUGUUCGGAUUUACUGGGCGUAAAGGGCGCGUAGGCGGCCAGCACAAGUCAGUUGUGAAAUCUCCGAGCUUAACUCGGAAAGGUUAACUGAUACUGUGCGGCUAGAGUGCAGAAGGGGCAACUGGAAUUCUUGGUGUAGCGGUGAAAUGCGUAGAUAUCAAGAGGAACACCAGUGGCGAAGGCGAGUCCCUGGACAACUCCUGACACUGAGGCACGAAAGCUAGGGGAGCAAACAGG
rnacentral:rRNA from 1 species